UAGGGAAUCUUCGGCAAUGGGGGCAACCCUGACCGAGCAACGCCGCGUGAGUGAAGAAGGUUUUCGGAUCGUAAAGCUCUGUUGUAAGUCAAGAACGAGUGUGAGAGCGGAAAGUUCACACUGUGACGGUAGCUUACCAGAAAGGGACGGCUAACUACGUGCCAGCAGCCGCGGUAAUACGUAGGUCCCGAGCGUUGUCCGGAUUUAUUGGGCGUAAAGCGAGCGCAGGCGGUUUGAUAAGUCUGAAGUUAAAGGCUGUGGCUCAACCAUAGUUCGCUUUGGAAACUGUCAAACUUGAGUGCAGAAGGGGAGAGUGGAAUUCCAUGUGUAGCGGUGAAAUGCGUAGAUAUAUGGAGGAACACCGGUGGCGAAAGCGGCUCUCUGGUCUGUAACUGACGCUGAGGCUCGAAAGCGUGGGGAGCGAACAGGAUUAGAUACCCUGGUAGUCCACGCCGUAAACGAUGAGUGCUAGGUGUUGGAUCCUUUCCGGGAUUCAGUGCCGCAGCUAACGCAUUAAGCACUCCGCCUGGGGAGUACGACCGCAAGGUUG
rnacentral:rRNA from 1 species